UACGUAGGUGGCGAGCGUUGUCCGGAUUUACUGGGCGUAAAGAGCGCGCAGGCGGUCGUACAAGUCGCGUGUGAAAGCCCCCGGCUCAACUGGGGAGGGUCACGCGAUACUGUUCGACUCGAAGGCAGGAGAGGGAAGUGGAAUUCUCGGUGUAGAGGUGAAAUUCGUAGAUAUCGAGAGGAACACCGGUGGCGAAGGCGGCCUUCUGGACAGUGACUGACGCUGAGACGCGAAAGCGUGGGGAGCAAACAGG
rnacentral:rRNA from 1 species